rnacentral:rRNA from 1 species
GACGAACGCUGGCGGCGUGCCUAAUACAUGCAAGUCGAACGAACUCUGGUCUUUGAUUGACGGUGCUUGCACCUGAUUGAUUAAACAUUUGAGUGAGUGGCGAACUGGUGAGUAACACGUAGGAAACCUGCCCAGAAGCGGGGGAUAACACCUGGAAACAGAUGCUAAUACCGCAUAACAACUUGAACCGCAUGGUUCGAGUUUGAAAGAUGGCUCUGCUAUCACUUCUGGAUGGUCCUGCGGCGUAUUAGCUAGAUGGUGAGGUAACGGCUCACCAUGGCAAUGAUACGUAGCCGACCUGAGAGGGUAAUCGGCCACAUUGGGACUGAGACACGGCCCAAACUCCUACGGGAGGCAGCAGUAGGGAAUCUUCCACAAUGGACGAAAGUCUGAUGGAGCAACGCCGCGUGAGUGAAGAAGGGUUUCGGCUCGUAAAACUCUGUUGUUAGAGAAGAACAUAUCUGAGAGUAACUGUUCAGGUAUUGACGGUAUCUAACCAGAAAGCCACGGCUAACUACGUGCCAGCCGCCGCCGUAA